rnacentral:lncRNA from 1 species
AGAGCGAGCUAUUUCGGAGACUUGCUCAUCGCGUGAAGAGCAGAAUGCUGGAUGCGUGUAUUGGAGUGCAGAUCGCAAUCGUAACAGGAUGCAAACUGAUCCAGUUCGUCUCCAUCGUCUUUGUCGGCAGAUCUCUAAAGAAGUUAAACAAGUUGUUAUCAAGUAACGAUAUUAAUCCAGAGAGAAACAACAGUAGUAUCGACCUAAGCCGAUUUGUUCUGCAUCUGGAAGGCGAGGAAGAGCUUGUUGAAGUAACAAUGAGGAAGAGCUCUAAUGCUACAGAUCACUGGAUGCAAAGGGGGAAAACAAGACAGCCAAAACAUCUAACUGACCUGUUGGGAAAUGCAACCUUAGGUUUCAAGGGAGUACGAGAAUUGGCAUUCGAGAACUCAGUUAGCCUGGAAGGUGAAGAACCUCCUCCGCGAUGCUGCUGUUGGUCUCUUCCGAUAGUAACUCUGACAGCAAUCGCAGUUGCACUCCCGAAUGUCAGCAGUUGUGCAGUUCAAAACCUGUUACACGGAGUUCACGAGGGAUUUGUGUAUGUCAAUCUCGUCGAAGACAACCAGGAGGAUAGCAGACAAGAUCUUGCUACUACUACUAAAGCGAGAAUAGCUGCACAUCGUGUGUGGUCAAGUGUCGACAUUUACAAUAAAUGGUACAAUAUAGAUCUUCGUAACCUGUCC